AAUUUGAAUCGCUGCCACAGGGAUCUUCUCUGUGACGAUCUCCUCUGACUGAUCUCCUCUGGCUACGACCUCCUCUGACCGAUCUCUUCCGGCGACGACCUCCUCCAACGACGACCUCAUUCGGCGAUGUUUUCCUCAGUGGCGAUCUUCUCUGGUGACCUCUCUCCUCCAACGACAAUCUCCUCCUACAACGGUCUCCUCCUGCGAUGGUCUCCUCCAUCGACAUCUCCUACUGCAAUGAUCUCCUCCGGUGGCAUUCUCCUACGCCGGCAAUCUCAUCCAUCGAGCUAAUGUGCUGUGAGAUUCUCCUCCCACAAGCUCGCUAGAAUACAUGAUAGAUUUUGCGAAAUGGCAACUACAACUACUAAAAUUGUAGAAGCUAGGGUUUCUGAAGAAGGGAUCAUUAAAACAUUUCAUAAUGACGAUGAUGAAGCGCUCGAUGCUGCGGAGAAUGGAGUUGCGGGAGCAGAUGACUACGAGGUUGUGAGGAAGGUGGGAAGAGGGAAAUAUAGCGAGGUCUUUGUGGGUGUUUACUCCACCGAUAAUGAAAAAUGCAUCAUCAAGAUCCUCAAACCCGUCAAGAAGAAAAAGUUAAAGAGGGAGAUCAAAAUAUUGCAUAAUCUUUGUGGAGGUCCCAAUGUUAUAAAGCUGCUUGACAUUGUUAGGGACUAGCAAUCAAAGACCCCAAGCCUUAUAUUUGAAUAUGUCAAUAACACUAAUUUUACAGUGCUCUACCCCACCCUGUCAGAUUAUGAUAUUCAAUAUUAUAUCUAUGAACUUCUAAAGAAUGGCAUAUGAGAAUCACCUGUAGUUGCUGAUGAGCAACCUAAUGUUCCUAUGUGGAAUCCUGUGUUGUUCAAGCUUCCAUCAGAUGAGAUACUUCUGUUCUACAAAAUAGGCCAAGAAGUUCAAAAGUAAAGCUUCUAUAUUGAAAGUUGAAAUAGUUGGUUUGACCUAUCCUCUUAACUGUCUCAGCAAGUUUAGCCAUUGACUUCAUGUGGUAGCUGUCUUGAAGGUAACUAAUUCGGCUAUCUAUAUCAUGUUAAGCUUUAUUUGCAGAGCUUGGUUUAGUUUGUGAAGAAAAGGUUACUCUUAGUCCAUAAAAGGGAUCUUGAUAACUCUAAUCUAUCUAGACAUUUGGUAUCUAAACUUGGGAAGCUUAAGUAUUAUAUAUAUAUAAGUCAAAGAAAGUUCUUUGGAGACUAGGAAUUUUGGUGGGUUAAUUUCUCAAGCUCAUGCCAAUGCUACUAGAAAUGUUAUGAUGCCAGAAGUUGACUUUUUAGCUCACAGCUCAUGUCCUUCGAGCCCUUUUUUUUUGCAUGCCUAUGCUAAUACUUCUCAAAGUAAUAAUUAGUGGAUAUAAUUUGCUUAAUUAUUUGUAUAGAAAUUAUUACUUCUAAUUUCUAGUACUAAUAAAAAAAUUAUAUAUUAUGUUUGAUA